rnacentral:rRNA from 1 species
CACGUAGUUAGCCGGGGCUUCUUACUCAGGUACCGUCAUCUUCUUCCCUGCUGAUAGAGCUUUACAUACCGAAAUAACUUCUUCACUCACGCGGCGUUGCUGCAUCAGGGUUUCCCCCACUUGUGCAAUAUUCCCCACUGCUGCCUCCCGUAGGAGUUUGGGCCGUGUCUCAGUCCCAAUGUGGCCGGUCACCCUCUCAGGUCGGCUACUGAUCGUCGCCUUGGUGGGCCGUUACCCCCUCAACUAGCUAAUCAGACGCGGGUCCAUCUCAUACCACCGGAGUUUUUCACACAAGAACAUGCAUCCUCGUGCGCUUAUGCGGUAUUAGCAGUCAUUUCUAACUGUUAUCCCCCUGUAUGAGGCAGGUUACCCACGCGUUACUCACCCGUCCGCCACUCAGUCAAUCUAGCUUCCAUCCGAAAACUCCGCUAAAUCGCUUGUUCGACUUUGCAUGUGUUAAGCACGCCGCAGCGUUCAUCCUGAGCCCAGGGAUCCAAAACUCC